rnacentral:Y_RNA from 1 species
GGCUGGUCCUAUGGUAGUGGGUUAUCAGAACUUAUUAACAACUAGUGUCACUAAAGUUGGGAUAUAACCCACCACUGCUAAAUUUCACUGGCUAAAA